UUGCAGUCAUCUGGAAACAUCUUAGUUGUGCAUAAUGUGACCAAUACAACUACGGGAUAUUAUACUUGUAUCGCAACGAACGACGCUGGAACUAGCCAAGCAAAUGUUUUACUUAAAGUUACUUAUGAUGUUCCCCGUAUUAUCACACCUCCUAAAACGACUGUCAUAACGACAGGACAUUCACACAAUUUUACAUGUAUUGCAACUGGGCAUCCACCACCGUCGAUUAUAUGGUCCUUCAAAUCUUUUACACAGCAGUCAACAAAGCUUCCGUCCCAUCAGCUUCAUCAACACGGUAGUUUACUGACACUUUGUGCUAUCAAGACACAUGAAUCUGGAACUCUCUCUUGC